rnacentral:rRNA from 1 species
AACAGGAUUAGAUACCCUGGUAGUCCACGCCCUAAACGAUGAUAACUCGAUGUUUGCGGUACACAGUAAGCGUCCAAGCGAAAGCGUUAAGUUAUCCACCUGGUGAGUACGGUCGCAAGAUUGAAACUCAAAGGAGUUGACGGGGGCCCGCACAAGCGGAGGAGCAUGUGGUCUAAUUCGAUGAUACGCGAGGAACCUUACCCGGGCUUGAAAGUUAGUGAAUGAUCCAGAGACGGAUCAGUCCUUCGGGACACGAAACUAGGUGCUGCAUGGCUGUCGUCAGCUCGUGCCGUGAGGUGUUGGGUUAAGUCCCGCAACGAGCGCAACCCCUAUGUUUAGUUGCCAGCACAUUAAGGUGGGGACUCUAAACAGACUGCCAGCGUAAGCUGUGAGGAAGGUGGGGACGACGUCAAGUCAUCAUGGCCCUUACGUCCGGGGCUACACACGUGCUACAAUGGAUGGUACAGCGGGCAGCUACAUAGCAAUAUGGUGCUAAUCUCUAAAAGCCAUUCACAGUUCGGAUUGAGGUCUGCAACUCGACCUCAUGAAGUUGGACUCGCUAGUAAUCGCGUAUCAGCAAUGACGCGGUGAAUACGUUCCCGGGCCUUGUACACACCGCCCGUCAAGCCAUGAAAGUUGGGGGUACCUAAAGCAUGUAACCGCAAGGAGCGUGUUAGGGUAAAACCGAUAAUUGGGGCUAAGUCGUAACAAGGUAACCGUA